GGGUUCCCUCCAGCCUCAGCUUUGCCCAGGACCUCACCUGGAACACGUGGAAGCCAACGGUGAGGCUCCAGCAGCGUUAAACGGAACUGAGGAUUGGUCCAGAAGGUUUCUAAGGGAGGAGGAAAAAAGGGGGUUUCCUAGCCGGCCACAGCGCCCCCCACCCCAGGAAGCCUCUCAGGGCCCCUCAGGCCUCACCAGCAUUAGGCUGGCUCCCGCCGGAGUUGAAGCCACGCACCCAGCGGCCUUGGAAGGUGUGGACGUGCCAGCCGCCCCCCUCCGGGCUGGGGCCCAGCACCUCCGGGCUCAGCGAGCAGAUCUGCACGGUGUCGAAAUGGAGGAGGAAGUCCCGCAGCUCCAUCCUGCACGGUGGCCCAGUCAGACCCUGCCCGGCCCCACCUCGAGGGGGUCCCAAGAUCCCGGAAAUGACUCCCAGAUCCCAAAGCCCCUCACAUUUCUUAAAUAUUGUCAAAUACCCUUCAGGCUCCAGAAAUGAACCCCAAAUGCCUGGGCCUCUAGCUCUGCCAAAUUCCUCCAAGUCCUCAGACAUGCCCCACAAAUCGCCAAGAUUCACAAGCUGCCCCCAAAUAUCGUUAAAUUGCCACCAACCCCCAAAUAGCAAGACCCUCAGACUCUAAAUUACCAACAAGUACCCUUCAGCCCCUCAACAUUGCCAAAUCUCAAGAAAUGCCCCAAAUAUCACCAAGCCUUCCUCCAUUGCCCUAAAUACUGCCCAUCCCUUUCAAUCCUCCACAGAUAACUAGGCCUUCAAAUUCCCCUCAUAUUACUACUUUUUUAAACCCACUCCAAUCAGAGGUUCUCUAAUAUUACUACCAAUUCUUCCUUGAUUUCCCAAAAUAGAACCUGGCCCCAAAAUUACCACCGAUGUACACAGUUUCUCCCUAUUAGGACCCAUCCUUCAACUGGGGCUCGCCCUCCCUGAACCCCUUGGCAGAGACCCUCCCAGAGGCAGAGCUGGGACCCUGACGAACUGACCAGAACUCGCCAUCCUCCUUUUUCACCAGCAGGGCAUCGCGGCACUCGGUGGGGAGUGUGUCCCAGCGUGGGCAGCUGGAGAGACUGUGGUGUGAGGGGCGGGCAGGUGGGGUCCAGCCCCACACCCACCCCAGACCCAUCCCACCUGUCGCUCCAGGCCCCCGUCCACUCCACGCAGCCCCAUGGGUUCCGC
rnacentral:lncRNA from 1 species